AUGUGUUCCUCUUCUUUUCUCAGAUGUUCUUGUCUUCUUUUCUCAGAUGUGUUCCUCUUCUUUUCUCAGAUGUUGUCUUCUUCUUUUCCCAGUUGCUGCUUUGCUGCAGAGUGUUUGAAGCAGGGGCCUUUAUACUCCAGGAAAGAAACUUCUAGAAGCUGGAGACAUGCUAUUCAAAUGAGGAUGUUUGGAUUUCCUAGGGAAGCUGGGAGAGCCCUCCCUCUGGAUCCAGUGACCACAAGAUUCAACCUCUGCAAGAUUCUUCUGUCGGGGGAUGUAGAGACAUGCUCCCCAAGCUCACAUCCUCCCCCAACACUGCCACGUCAAAGUGUGAAUUCUUUUUCAGGCUGCGGGUGUGGUGCACAAAUGGCUAUAUACAUUUCAGAGUGACUUUUAUAAUUUUACUGAACUUAAUAUUUUUCUGAAUUUUAUAAUGUUGUGGUGAUCAGUCUUUUGCACCUUUUGUUUUGUUAAGCCUGUUGGUCUGAGCUCUUUUGCAUAUUUGCACUUUUUCCUUUAUGUAACUUUUUCUUCUGUCCCCUCCAGUAGUGAAACACAAGCUUUCUUUCUUUCUUUUUCUCUUUCUUUCUUUCUUUCUUUCUUUCUUUCUUUCUUUCUUUCUUUCUUUCUUUCUUUCUUUCUAUGCAUCAAAUGUGCAUCAAAUGAGCUCCAUAAAAAUGCAUUAAAAAUAACAAAUUGCUGUAAAAUGUUUUUUUUUUUUUAUUAGGUAAAUUUCGAAAUGUCUAAUAAGCACAAAAGCAUGUGUUUUGUGCACUGACCACCUGUGUGUGCAUGUGGCUCUGCCGUAAAUGGCAAUCUGUUGUUUACCGGAGAGUCUCUUUAAACAUCUCAGUUCUCUCAAGACUUGCAUGUGGCAAAUGUCUUACUUGCUACAGUGGCACAACACUCAAACUUUGGUUCUGUUUAAAAAUGUUUUAAGAAUAUAUCCAUAUAUGUUCGCUGAACCUCAGAAAAUCUGCACAAAGCAGUCAUUGAGUUAUGGGCUGAGCUGGGGGCUGUGCCACGCAUGUAUGAUGUAAGAUGUGAGCAAAGUUACUUCUUAAACGCUGAUGUAACUUAGUGCAGCAUUGCAUGUGUCUUUGAUUUCUUAUCGAAGAAGUGAGAAAAAGAGAAUUUUGUGAAAAAAAACAAAACAAUUUACACUGGUUUAGUUGGUUUGGUUUUAUAAAAGGUUUAUGUGCAAAACAAAUUCAUUUAUUUAUACCUGAAUUCACACAAAUCAUAAAUCGCAAAUGGAAUUGUGUUGUUUUACCACUGCAGCAAUCAGAGGUUUCCAUUAUAUACUGUAGUUGGUCUGAUCUGCAACCCCUAGGAGUUUUGUUUUGUUUUAAAAGGCAAAAGUCCUUUUUUUUGCAAGACAAAAUUACCAUCUUUUAGGGUGGUUGCAGUAAUCAGACAAGUUUUUAUAGCACCGUAACAUGCAUGUCAUUGGAAAGUAAAAGCAAAGAAGUAGGCAAACCUCCCCAACAAGUAUGACAGUCCAUUUGCACAUUAAGUCAUAAAUAUUAAGUAUGAUUUAGGCUCUGUCGUGACUAAAGGGAGAAAGACUAAAUUCUUUGCUCAGGCUGAUGAGGAGCAAUGCCUGGGCCUAUGUGUGUGUUGAAUUAAUGAACAGACUCUUAGUCAUUGUGGAUAAGGAGUAAUUGACUGUGACCUUAGUCACUUUUACUAAUUGAAAGCAUGAUGAUUAGUUCUUAAGGUUUUAAUCCCAAAAUCUGACUUGGUAUGUUUAAGGUUUUGAGGUAAUUAUUCAGAUAACCUUUCUCUUGAAUUGGGAACAAAAAGUAGCUUAACUCAAAACUUAUUUUCAGCCUGCACCAUAUUGACCGACCACUAGAUGGCGAUCAAAGAAAGCAGUUGUAUCACACAAGCGAUGGCUUUCCUAAAUUCAGGAGUAUUUCUCUCAUUAAAAAAAAUGUUUGUUUAUAAUCCUUUUAAAAUCAGCACCUUUCCGACUCCAGAUUCAUGACAUCUAUCUUAUGAGUGAUCAUGUAUGUAUGUAUAACAGACAAAUAUAGGAGUUUGGGGAUAUCUGAGCAGCUGGAUGCUGUGACCAACAGCUGAUCAGAGAAUAGGUGUCCACUUUAUUUUCACAGGGCCUGAAAUGUCAGGGGAUGCAAUUACCCUGCUGCAACCUAAGCAAGCGUGCCCACACACACACACACACACACACACACACACACACUUACAAACACUAGGGAUCACAAAAGUUUGCUUGUAUGAUUUAUCAAUGACAGUCUUACUUAAUUAAACUUUCAAAUGCUUUCCAAGGCUUCCCAAUAUUUCAUUUUCCCCUGUGUCUCUCAAAUAACUCAUAAAUAAAGCUAUAUAUUUUUGCA
ensembl:lncRNA